rnacentral:rRNA from 1 species
GAAGAACGCUGGCGGCGUGCCUAAUACAUGCAAGUCGAGCGGACCCUUUGGAGUGCUUGCACUCCUGAGAGUUAGCGGCGGACGGGUGAGUAACACGUAGGCAACCUGCCUGUAAGACCGGGAUAACCCACGGAAACGUGAGCUAAGACCGGAUACGUUGUCCUUUUGCAUGAAGGGGCAUGGAAAGACGGGGCAACCUGUCGCUUACGGAUGGGCCUGCGGCGCAUUAGCUAGUAGGUGAGGUAACGGCUCACCUAGGCGGCGAUGCGUAGCCGACCUGAGAGGGUGAACGGCCACACUGGGACUGAGACACGGCCCAGACUCCUACGGGAGGCAGCAGUAGGGAAUCUUCGGCAAUGGACGCAAGUCUGACCGAGCAACGCCGCGUGAGUGAAGAAGGUUUUCGGAUCGUAAAACUCUGUUGCCAGGGAAGAAGGAUGAGAAGAGUAACUGCUUUUCAUUUGACGGUACCUGAGAAGAAAGCCCCGGCUAACUACGUGCCAGCCGCCGCCGUAAUAC